GAUGAACGCUGGCGGCGUGCCUAAUACAUGCAAGUCGAGCGAACGGACGAGAAGCUUGCUUCUCUGAUGUUAGCGGCGGACGGGUGAGUAACACGUGGAUAACCUACCUAUAAGACUGGGAUAACUUCGGGAAACCGGAGCUAAUACCGGAUAAUAUUUUGAACCGCAUGGUCCAAAGGGAAAGACCGUCUUUCUGGCACUUAUUGGUGGAUCCGCGCCUCCUUAGCUAGUUGGUAAGGUAACGGCUUACCAAGGCAACGAUGGAUAGCCGACCUGAGAGGGUGAUCGGCCACACUGGAGCUGAGACACGGUCCAGACUCCUACGGGAGGCAGCAGUAGGGAAUCUUCCGCAAUGGGCGAAAGCCUGACGGAGCAACGCCGCGUGAGUGAUGAAGGGCUUCGGAUCGUAAAACUCUGUUAUUAGGGAAGAACAUAUGUGUAAGUAACUGUGCACAUCUUGACGGUACCUAAUCAGAAAGCCACGGCUAACUACGU
rnacentral:rRNA from 1 species